rnacentral:rRNA from 1 species
AUUGAACGCUGGCGGCAGGCUUAACACAUGCAAGUCGAGCGGAGACUUCGGUCUUAGCGGCGAACGGGUGAGUAACACCUAGGAAUCUGCCUAUUAGUGGGGGAUAACGUGUGGAAACGCACGCUAAUACCGCAUACGUCCUACGGGAGAAAGCAGGGGAUCUUCGGACCUUGCGCUAAUAGAUGAGCCUAGGCCGGAUUAGCUAGUUGGUGGGGUAAAGGCCUACCAAGGCGACGAUCUGUAGCUGGUCUGAGAGGAUGGCCAGCCACACUGGAACUGAGACACGGUCCAGACUCCUACGGGAGGCAGCAGUGGGGAAUAUUGGACAAUGGGGGCAACCCUGAUCCAGCCAUGCCGCGUGUGUGAAGAAGGCCU